GGUUGUGGUUCAGUGGUAGAGCGCUUGCCUAGCAUGCAUAAGGCACUGGGUUCAAUCCCCAGGACCA
rnacentral:tRNA from 1 species